AUCUUUCCUCUUGGGGCAAUGACGCAGCUAGUGUGGUUAUAAUCUAGGCACGUCAAUUGCUGGUUGAAACUAUUUCAAAAUCUUCUCUUUGACUUGGGCCCAGCCCUGUGCCAUAGAGAAUUUUUAGAAGGGUCCCCUAUAAUCUAGGGUUAGGGCC